AGAUUUUAGAAAUUGUCUUAUAGUUGUUUGUGUUUCCAUAUUUGUGUUGUGUUCUGAGCCUUAAGCAUCAAAACUAUUCAUUAACUGGUAUAUACAUUUUACAUGUAAUUUUAAAAGUGUUUUUUAUUGGUCCCCAUUACACAGUAUCUGGUAUACUUUGGAAGGAUAGGAGUAGAGAGGAUUAAAUGAUAGUUCUGUAGUAGCCCUUGUAAUAGGUACCCAUGUUGUAAAGAGUGUAUACAUUACUUCCUAUUUUACUGAUACCACUGGUGUCUUAGGCUACAGCCUAUUUUCUUACGCAAGAACUCUACUUUAAAUUGUGCAUUCAAAUUAUGUUGGAAUGAGAGAAGGUAACUUUAAGAUUUACAGACCUUCAGAAAAAAUACAAAAUCUGAUUUUCAACAAUGUGCUUAAAAGAAUUAAUUCAUACAUGGUUUUGUUUUUACACGUUGUCCGUUUUGAUCUGUCCAACUGUGUAGAGGGGGGAUAUAUUUCCAUUUUGUCAGUGUUAGUAUUUUUCUGUUGUUCCACUGUUAGUGUACACAUUUCUGUUACUUUGUUGCAGCUUUAAUAAAUAAUGGUGUAUUUUUCUACAAUGUUGAUGUUUUCAUCAGGUUGUGACUGUUAUCUGUAUUGUCUAUAUAUAAUGUUAUGUUUGUGCCAAGGGGAGGGGGAAGAAGAUCUGCAAUAAAACUAAACACCACUAUU
rnacentral:misc_RNA from 1 species